rnacentral:lncRNA from 1 species
ACUCUAAACCCUAAACCCUAAACCCUAAACCUUCAAAUCUAAACCCUAAAACAUCAACUCUAAACCCUAAACGUAAACCUUAAACCCUAAAUCUAAACUUAAAACAUCAACUUUAAACCCUAGAUCAACAACUCUAAACCCUAAACCAUGAAACAUCAACACUAAACCCUAAACCCCGAAACAUCAACUCUAAACCCUAAACAUUCAGAUCUAAAGCUUAAAACAUCAACUCUAAACCCUAAACGUAAACCCUAAACCCUAAACCCUAUAUUUUUCUGAAAUUCGAACCCUAAACCCUAAAACCCUAAACCUUCAAAUCUAAACCCUAAAACAUCAACUCUAAACCUUAAAUGUAAACCCUAAACUCUAAACGUAUACCCUAAAUCCUAAAACUCUAAACCUUCAAAUCUAAACCCUAAAACAUCAACUCUAGUUUUAGGGUUUAGGAUUUGGGGUUUACGGUUUAGAAUUGAAGGUUUAGGGUUUAGAGUUGAAGGUUUAGGGUUUAGGGUUUAGACUUAAUGUUUUAGGGUUUAGGGUUAAUGUUUUAGGGUUAGGGUUUAGAGUAUACUUUUUAGAGUUUAGGGUUUAGUGUUGAUAGUUUAGGGUUCAGUGUUGAUAGUUUAGGGUUUAGAGUUGAAGUUUAGGGUUUAGGGUUUAGAUUUGAUGAUUUAGGGUUUAGAGUUGAAGGUUUAGGGUUUAGAGUUUAGCGUUCAGGGUUUAGAGUUGAUGUUUCUGAGUCUAGGGUUCGUAUUUCAAAAAAAAAGGGUUUAGGAUUGAUGGUUUAGGGUUUAGAGUUGAGUUUUAGGGUUUAGGGUUUAAAUUUCAAAAUAGUAUAAUUCGAAAAAAAAUUAAAACAAUUAUUUU